UAGUGCAAUUUGUUGUAGCUUG
rnacentral:miRNA from 1 species